rnacentral:lncRNA from 1 species
CAGCCCAUUCUUUUUCCCAUACAUUACAACAUUUAGCAACAAUUAAAAAAAAAAAAGCUGAAGAAACCCAGAACGUACAACAGUAGCCGACAGAGACCCGACCCUUGCGUAUCUUCUUCUUCUUCUUCACGCGAACACCAAUCUAGGGAGAAAAUUGCUCUGCAAACUUGGAAAUUUCACUCAACUACUCUGCAAAACCCAUAACCCUAGCAACCUAAUCCAUCACCCUCACGUCCCUUUUCCCCCUUUUUUUUUGAGAUUUUCUGAAUCCAUUCACUGUUGCCUCGAAAAGAAACGGGCAGAUUCAAAAUUCAAACGGAUUCUACCCUCUAAAUCAUCCAUCUUCCCCUAUAAAUAAUCCUUUACAUUCAAGUGAUUCGGGGGAAAAAAAAAAGUUUUGGAAAUUGGGAGAAAACAUGUUUUAGAGCUUGGUUCUUGGACAAUACCCAUUUUACAUUCAAGGAAUUUUUAAAACGAUUUUCUAAUUCUAAGUUUUGAGAAAGGUUUCAUUUGAAGUUACUUUGAAAUUCUUGGUUUGUUGCUCGAGUCGAAGUUGUGUUCAAGCUCGUUGUCGUCCAGUCGCUGCCCCGCAACAGGUGAUCUUCGUCCCCUUACUCUUACUUCUAUUAUUGUCUUUGUAUAAAUGUUAUGCCUGUUGUAAGAAAAAUCAUGUGUCAAGAAUAAUUCUCAGUUGUUUAGCUAUCAUGAAAGUGAUGUUUUUUUUAUAAAAAUAAUAAUAAUAAUAAUAAUAUGUCUUUGAUUUAGUUUGAGGCCCGGAGAUAAUUGAGUUAAUAUCUUUUUCACAUUUUAGCUAUUUCGAAUAAAAAAAAAUGAUUUUGUUUGGAAUCAAAUGAUGAUAUGUAAUUUGUUUUUGGUUCCAAUUUUGGCGUUUAUUUGUAUCUCUAUGUGAUAAGCAAUUUUCAGUUCAUAUGUUCCUAUUUAAAAGUGGUUUUAAAGGAGAUGAAUAUUGUUCUUGUUUAGUUGGAAAUGUUAUGAAAAUAACAUGCUUUUUUUUUUUGAGUUAAAAUGUAAAUAAAACUAUGUGUGUAGGCUUUCCCUGUAGUUUGGUUCCCAUAUAUAUAUGAACAUAGACUUUAAACUCCCUCCCUAAUCUGUAAUUAGUGUAAUUGUAAGCAUAAGUUUUCUUCUAAAUAUUUAGCACUUACUGCGUGACAUUGUCAAGUAAUCAUAGUUUAAACUCAUUCUUGUCAUAAAAAUAUUUCUCAUGUAGUAAGAAAUUUAUAGUCUUAUAUUUGUGUGCAUUUUAUUUUAAGGCAGAAGCAAAUUUUCAUAUUUCAUAAAAAGAUGGCUUCUUCUUUUUCUUUUUUAAGUUAGAAUACUGUGUUGAUCUUGCUUAACCCAUUUGCAGGUUUACUUCAUGUUCUUGUGCAUACUAUUUUUUUUUAGUCUUGGUGUACUAUGUUAUAUGAAGCAUGUGCAUAAGUUUUCUUUCAAAAAUCUUAAAAUCUCUAAAUGUCUUAUAUAUUUAUUUAUUCUAAAAAGGUAUGAUUUUUCAAGUUUCUUUCAUAUUUUGUUAACAUAUAUGAUAUAUGUGUUUAAGUCUAUCUUCUAAGUUUCAGAUAAAUGGCUUGUUUUAAUUCUCCAUGUGCCCUAAAAAUGUAAUUUUGUUACCUUUUGAAUGAACUUGAGAUUGGACUUGUUUGGCAGUUUGAUUAUUUUGAGUUGGUUUUAAAAUCAUCAAUGUAUCUUGUCGGAUGCUUUCACUUUGUAUUUCGGAUUGUAUUGUAAACUUAAAAGAGCAUAUAUUUUUUCCAUGGCGAUAACCUUUUUUUUUUUUCCGCUUGGAAACCCCAAGAGGUAUUAAAUUGCUAAUUCUUUCAAUAGCUAACCCAUUUUGAGAUUUUUUUAGAUCUCUAGAAUGGAGGUUUGAAUUGUUUUAACCUCUGUAUGUGACUUGUGCACUUCUUCACAUUUGUUUAAGUUAAUAUUGAUUUAUUACUAAAUUUGGAAAAAAAAAAUAAAAAAAAAUCUCGGAUAUAUGUUAUCUCUGACUGUCUAAGCUAAUGGAUUAAUGUGCUUAGAUAUAACUAAUGGCUUUUGACUCUCAUAGUGAUCUUAUUCUUUCAUGUAGGAUAAUUUAGUCUAAUUCUUUAUCUUAUUUCUAAUCAAACUGCAAAUAUUUUGGAAUGAUCUCGAUAUUACUAUUGUUGAAAUUUUCUAAGAGUGAUGAUUUUCCCCUCUUGCUUAAAACUAAUUUUCUCUUCUCCAGGAAGUCGUAGCUUUGAGUUUCAGAUUUUGUUUUGUUUUGCUUAGUUGAAUAAUGUUUCCAUUACUAGUAUUAAUAUUUUGAUGAAUUCUUAGUUAAAUCUUUGUCCUUGUGUUGCCAGCAUUUGUAUUGUCACUUUGCCCUCAAGUGUGGUAGCCAUCAAAUCUGUUUGUUUGAGAAUAGAAAGAUUAGAUUUUUUUUGCAUAUUAGUCGAAAUAAUUGUUGAAUGUGUCUUACACAUGAUUAAAGAAUGCAUUCUCCCUUAUGUUUUCUCUUCCAGUGAGCUUAUUCAAAAUCAAUAAAUUUGUUACCAUUAUAGGUGAUUUGAUCCUUGACUCAUCAUAUUGUGGUAUAAUAUGGUAUAAUUGUUUUAGUAUUUAUCCACUUGGUAUUCACAAUGUUAAACAUUCUAAGAUUUAAAUGUGUUCCAACUAUUGCGCUUCCGUUUAGCUAUUGAUUGGCAAUUGAGCUUUAUUAUUAUCCUACAUGCUUAAUUAUUUUAGUAGAGUUUCAUUAUGAUUAAUUAUUAAUCUUUAUCUCUUUUCUCGCAUGAACUUUUGAUCCGAGUUCCCUUGGACUCCAUCUUUCUCCACUUCAUAUUUCGGAUGGGCCAUAAAGGCCCAAAAUUCUUUUAUCGAGUCAUCCAACCUUGAGAAAUUGAAGAACAAGUCUUUGGAGUUGACGUACAGGUCCCGGAACGCAGAAAAAAGGGAUGUAUACAUCAGAUAUACACUAAUAUACAACCUGUGUAUACAAAAACGGGAUUGGAUUAAAGCUCAAAAAUUUGCAACGAAAUUGGCCCAAGAAGGGGCCCAAUUUCAUUAUCUCUUUUACUCUCUUAAUUGUUUUGAUUAUGUCUAACUAAUUUUAUUUAACUCUAACUUUAGAACUUUUAAUUAACUUACUUAGAUCCCCAAAGGAUGAGUUAUUUUCUUUAUGUUGGUUUACUUUUAAAACAUCUUUUUGUAUUCUUGUAUUUUAUGUCAAGUAUAUCGGUCAAAUUCUUUAUAUCUUUAAUUAAGUAUAUUUGUUCUUAAAAAAGAUAUGCUCUUUAUUUAAUAACAUUUUUUUACUCA